GGGUUGUGAGGUUAAGCGACUAAGCGUACACGGUGGAUGCCCUGGCAGUCAGAGGCGAUGAAGGACGUGCUAAUCUGCGAUAAGCGCCGGUAAGGUGAUAUGAACCGUUAUAACCGGCGAUUUCCGAAUGGGGAAACCCAGUGUGACUCGUCACACUAUCAUUAACUGAAUCCAUAGGUUAAUGAGGCGAACCGGGGGAACUGAAACAUCUAAGUACCCCGAGGAAAAGAAAUCAACCGAGAUUCCCCCAGUAGCGGCGAGCGAACGGGGAGGAGCCCAGAGCCUGAAUCAGCAUGUGUGUUAGUGGAAGCGUCUGGAAAGGCGCGCGAUACAGGGUGACAGCCCCGUACACAAAAGCGCAUGUGCUGUGAGCUCGAUGAGUAGGGCGGGACACGUGGUAUCCUGUCUGAAUAUGGGGGGACCAUCCUCCAAGGCUAAAUACUCCUGACUGACCGAUAGUGAACCAGUACCGUGAGGGAAAGGCGAAAAGAACCCCGGCGAGGGGAGUGAAAAAGAACCUGAAACCGUGUACGUACAAGCAGUGGGAGCACAGGUUUACCUGUGUGACUGCGUACCUUUUGUAUAAUGGGUCAGCGACUUAUAUUCUGUAGCAAGGUUAACCGUAUAGGGGAGCCGGAGGGAAACCGAGUCUUAACCGGGCGUUAAGUUGCAGGGUAUAGACCCGAAACCCGGUGAUCUAGCCAUGGGCAGGUUGAAGGUUGGGUAACACUAACUGGAGGACCGAACCGACUAAUGUUGAAAAAUUAGCGGAUGACCUGUGGCUGGGGGUGAAAGGCCAAUCAAACCGGGAGAUAGCUGGUUCUCCCCGAAAGCUAUUUAGGUAGCGCCUCGUGAAUUCAUCUCCGGGGGUAGAGCACUGUUUCGGCUAGGGGGCCAUCCCGGCUUACCAACCCGAUGCAAACUGCGAAUACCGGAGAAUGUUAUCACGGGAGACACACGGCGGGUGCUAACGUCCGUCGUGAAGAGGGAAACAACCCAGACCGCCAGCUAAGGUCCCAAAGUCAUGGUUAAGUGGGAAACGAUGUGGGAAGGCCCAGACAGCCAGGAUGUUGGCUUAGAAGCAGCCAUCAUUUAAAGAAAGCGUAAUAGCUCACUGGUCGAGUCGGCCUGCGCGGAAGAUGUAACGGGGCUAAACCAUGCACCGAAGCUGCGGCAGCGAACGUAUCACCCAAGACAACUUUACGGAGUUGACGAUUGACGGAGCGAAGCGACGUCAAAGCGUUCAUUAAAGUCGAGUUGGCUUAGGGAUACGUUCGUUGGGUAGGGGAGCGUUCUGUAAGCCUGUGAAGGUGUGUCGUGAGGCAUGCUGGAGGUAUCAGAAGUGCGAAUGCUGACAUAAGUAACGAUAAAGCGGGUGAAAAGCCCGCUCGCCGGAAGACCAAGGGUUCCUGUCCAACGUUAAUCGGGGCAGGGUGAGUCGACCCCUAAGGCGAGGCCGAAAGGCGUAGUCGAUGGGAAACGGGUUAAUAUUCCCGUACUUGGUGUUACUGCGAAGGGGGGACGGAGAAGGCUAUGUUGGCCGGGCGACGGUUGUCCCGGUUUAAGCGUGUAGGUGUGUGUUCCAGGUAAAUCCGGUUCACUUUAACACUGAGGCGUGACGACGAGGCACUACGGUGCUGAAGCAACAAAUGCCCUGCUUCCAGGAAAAGCCUCUAAGCAUCAGGUAACAUCAAAUCGUACCCCAAACCGACACAGGUGGUCAGGUAGAGAAUACCAAGGCGCUUGAGAGAACUCGGGUGAAGGAACUAGGCAAAAUGGUGCCGUAACUUCGGGAGAAGGCACGCUGACACGUAGGUGAAGUGAUUUACUCAUGGAGCUGAAGUCAGUCGAAGAUACCAGCUGGCUGCAACUGUUUAUUAAAAACACAGCACUGUGCAAACACGAAAGUGGACGUAUACGGUGUGACGCCUGCCCGGUGCCGGAAGGUUAAUUGAUGGGGUCAGCGCAAGCGAAGCUCCUGAUCGAAGCCCCGGUAAACGGCGGCCGUAACUAUAACGGUCCUAAGGUAGCGAAAUUCCUUGUCGGGUAAGUUCCGACCUGCACGAAUGGCGUAAUGAUGGCCAGGCUGUCUCCACCCGAGACUCAGUGAAAUUGAACUCGCUGUGAAGAUGCAGUGUACCCGCGGCAAGACGGAAAGACCCCGUGAACCUUUACUAUAGCUUGACACUGAACAUUGAGCCUUGAUGUGUAGGAUAGGUGGGAGGCUUUGAAGUGUGGACGCCAGUCUGCAUGGAGCCGACCUUGAAAUACCACCCUUUAAUGUUUGAUGUUCUAACGUGGACCCGUAAUCCGGGUUGCGGACAGUGUCUGGUGGGUAGUUUGACUGGGGCGGUCUCCUCCUAAAGAGUAACGGAGGAGCACGAAGGUUGGCUAAUCCUGGUCGGACAUCAGGAGGUUAGUGCAAUGGCAUAAGCCAGCUUGACUGCGAGCGUGACGGCGCGAGCAGGUGCGAAAGCAGGUCAUAGUGAUCCGGUGGUUCUGAAUGGAAGGGCCAUCGCUCAACGGAUAAAAGGUACUCCGGGGAUAACAGGCUGAUACCGCCCAAGAGUUCAUAUCGACGGCGGUGUUUGGCACCUCGAUGUCGGCUCAUCACAUCCUGGGGCUGAAGUAGGUCCCAAGGGUAUGGCUGUUCGCCAUUUAAAGUGGUACGCGAGCUGGGUUUAGAACGUCGUGAGACAGUUCGGUCCCUAUCUGCCGUGGGCGCUGGAGAACUGAGGGGGGCUGCUCCUAGUACGAGAGGACCGGAGUGGACGCAUCACUGGUGUUCGGGUUGUCAUGCCAAUGGCACUGCCCGGUAGCUAAAUGCGGAAGAGAUAAGUGCUGAAAGCAUCUAAGCACGAAACUUGCCCCGAGAUGAGUUCUCCCUGAGACUUUAGGUCUCCUGAAGGAACGUUGAAGACGACGACGUUGAUAGGCCGGGUGUGUAAGCGCAGCGAUGCGUUGAGCUAACCGGUACUAAUGAACCGUGAGGCUUAACCUUACAACGCCGAAG
rnacentral:rRNA from 1 species